UGUUUUUCUGGCACAUAUUUUACCAUAUCAUCUGAAAAACUCCUCAUGACGCCAUAGCACCCAUUGAAAUAGAGUGUUUGGAAAAAAAACGAAAUCUUUUGGUCCAGUGUAGAGGGCGUAGUCAGAAGAAAACGGCAACCAAUAGAAGUAAUACUCAUCAUCACUUCUAUUGGUUUCUGACACGUCCAUCAACCGCCAGCACUCACCCCUCCUCCCUGCGCGUUCACCGACUCGUGAACUUGACCGACCCCGCCCCCAUCAUUCAUGCACACGCGACAAGGCUCAUCAUCACUCGGCUAGUAGCAAGGUAACGAGAGUUAGCAGCAGGCUGAGCUACUUGGAAACUUUGGUGGCUUUUGCAGAGCUACAUGAAGAACUUUGGCUUUUGGAACACUAGAACCAUGUCAGGAUAACAUACUCCCUUGGAUUAUCAUCGGACUCGCAAGACCAGACUCCAACACGGGCUGAAAAUUUGAAAUGGGACCUGACACUCUUGGACACAGAUGUCGGCUACGGCAGCGGCUUCAAAUACGCUUUGGUGACCAUAUUUCUAAUCGAGAGUUGUGCGAACGAGCCAGACAAACCAGCUGGGAGGAGGACGGAAGCACCCCUUCUCCAUCCGCGUUCAGUUGCUAAAUACGGAUCCACCCCGUAGUAAGUAACCUACCAUGUUUACGCACACAUUACUUUGACCAGCAAAGCCCAUGUCUUUCUAGUGGUUUACAAAAAUAUAUCGUUUGCAUGUUUUGCUUUGGUACGUCUCUGUUGUAUGACUCUGGUAAUAGUAGCAAGCACAAGCACAACCUGUUCGCCGCUCCAGCAUUGCAAAAUAGAUUGCCUUGGGUUUUCAAAUGUUUACAUGAUUGUGGGUGUAAUGUUGUUAACUCGCUGAUGUCGUUUUUGAGAAGACGGUAGUUUUGCAUUUGAUAAAUACCACCUAAUGACCAUGACGGCUACACGGCAGAUCUUUAUUGUGAUGGCUACACUGAAUGAUCACAUGGAGAUGCCGGUACAUUAUUUGUUUUACCCUGGUUAUAUUGAAAUGUUCUGCUUUGUCCAUUCCAAUGUGUGGUGUCUUCCAUAGCUGUUCCUUGCUCCCGUUUCACAACAUAUCAAGGCUGCCAAGUAAAUGAAGAAUGAAUCACCGCACACUGGUCAACAGCCGACAGAGUCCUUCCACAACCACAUACUUAUGCCAGUAAAAGCCACAGCUUUUCUCCUCCAAUCCAAGAAGCCUGGACUGCAGUCACCAUCUCAACACACCAACCAAGAGAAAGGCGGAUGGCUCAAUUCAAUAUGGAAAAUUGCACAAUAAAAGUUCCAGGACAAGAAGGCUGCAUACUGUGAACGUCAACCUUCAGGGCACCGUCCUGCGCAGAAAACUUUCUACCCUAAGAGGGAUGGCUGACCGCAGACACUCACAACCAGCACAGACGCCUCCAACCUCAAACUAGGCCCUUCACAGUUGCUGCACUUACCCACCUUCCCAGAGUUUUUGUGUGGUAAUGACAACUGUAAAUAUAGUAUAAAGUAAUGUAUCUAGUGUCAUGUGUAAUACAUUGUUUAAA